AAAUUCGUUAUCGGUAACUUUAAUGUAUAGAUUUUUUUUACAAUUUUUACCUUUAUAUCUAAGCACUUCUCUACCAUAUCGCACUGGGUUGGUGUGCCAAUUUUAAACAGCCUGUACAGUUAUGCCAAAAUUUGCGGUUCUAAUUUAGUGAUGUUUCGUGUAAUUCUACUAGAUGUUAUUUCUAUUUAUAUUCUAUAAUUGCAGUUUUUUUCCAUUUUUAAAAAGAUAAAAAAUGAAACUUUUGUUUUGUUUCGCGACCUUCAAGAAGUCAGGAAUUGAACAUUUUCAAAUGAUUGUGAAUAAAAAACAAAAAAAACAUAAUUACCUCUACUUGUGGCACGUGUUCUUCUUCGCCAUCAUCAUCAUCAUCGUCGUCAUCUUCAUCAUCAUUAUCAUCCUUCUUUUCAGCAGCAGCAGCUG